rnacentral:lncRNA from 1 species
UUCCUCGUUGCCUUUGAAUGGGACCCUUGAUCCAAGGCUUUCAGAGACCAGCCGGUGCUGAUGGGGGUCCGUGACUUGGCGGUGGCGCCUGUUUGCUCCUUCUCUGUCUCGAGCAUGGUUUUCUAUCCUGCCGGGGAGGGCGAGAGCGCUGGGCAGAGGUGGCACCUGACCCGCUAGAACUCCGAUGUCACUGCUGUGGCUGUUACUCCCCUCGGCAAGAGUCAAGGCGCACGCAGGACGUGAAUCCUGCAAUGGACUGACCUCAUCUUCCCGAGGCUGUGAUGUUUCAGGAGAGUUUCACUAUUGCUGACCAACUGAGACCACCAGGAGCUCCUAAGUGCAAAGAGUAAGUGUUUUCUCCAACAAGAUAAUGUUUCCAAAACCAAACAACUUCAGUUGACCUUAUUCACCAUGUCUCUUCCAGGAGACAGGAAUCCUUUCUGCAACCAGAGGCUAUUACGAGUGUAAGUCAAAUAAUAAUUUUUCCAUCUUCAUAAUCACCACAGUAGUUUCAUGAACUUUGACUACCAUUGAGGAUCCCAGAUAACUCUUUGAAUUAAAAGGAUAACUUUUGUAUGCUAUUUAUUUAUUUCCCCCAGGGAUGCUCAGUAGGCUGUUUGGGCAUUUGUGCUGAUCCCUCUGCUAUUGUUACACCUGGCUCGGAGUUCCUUCAUCAUGGGACCCGUGCACUCGGGCCUGUGGUGAUGACAAUACCUUUUCAGGAAGACUGUGUCUUUCAUCUACACAAACCUAAAACCCUGCCUGACCACUAGGGAAGGAAGUAUUGAGUGGAGUGUUAGGCACAUCAGUCUCAUGGCCUUGGGGAAGCUAUUCACUUCUUUGAACCUCUCUCUAUUUUCUGUAUAAAGUGAGAGGGGGAGGUUUGAAUAAGUACUUCCUUCCACUUCCAAGAUCACAGAAACUUAAGGGCUGGGUGAUAGGUCAAGUUUAAGAAGAGUAAAAAUUCAACCAUCUCUGGGAAGAACCAAAUCUAGGACUCAACACAAUUUGGCUUCUUAAAGGAACCUUCCUACUUCCAAGAAUGAUGGAGAGCUACAUGGAGAGAAGUCUAUGACUUGGCAUUCUGAGUUACGAUCUUCACCCCCCCCCCAUAAGGGCUGGUGGAGGUCGAAAGCAGAAUACAAUUACCAUUGUACUUGCUGUUGCUAUUAAGUUGGAGACAUUGAACUUUAAGCCACUCCAGAGCAAAUUGUCUUGUACAUGGACACAGAAUAGUUGAAAACAAGAGAACUCACUCCUGUUAUAGUUUCUAUCCUGAGUGUCUUCCAAAGGUCUGUGUGCUAAUGGCUGGCCUGGCAGCCUGUGGUCCUACUGGGAGGAGAUAGAACCUUUAGGAGGGAGGUAGGGUCAAGUGGAAGAAAGUUAGGUCAUUGGGGCUAUGUCCAUGGAGGAGACAUUGAGACUGUGCCCUUUGGUAGGGAUGAUAUGAGUAAGUAUCUUCUGCCACAGGGUUCUGCCAUGAUGUACUUUGAAGCAACAGACCCAAAAAACCAGAACUGACACUUGUAAACUCAUGAGCCGAAAUAAAUCUUUCCCCUUAAAAGUUGGUUGUGUCAAGCAUUUUGGCAUAGUGAUGGAGGCUCAGCUAACACAGCUACAGAGUUAGCUCAGACCAUGGGUGCUAGCUCAUGCUCAAAUCCCAUGUCCACCACGUU